CCUACGGGAGGCUGCAGUCGAGAAUUUUUCUCAAUGGGGGAAACCCUGAAGGAGCGACGCCGCGUGGAGGAUGAAGGUCUUCGGAUUGUAAACUCCUGUCAUUUGGGAACUAGUACCAGAAGAGGAAGAGACGGCUAACCCUGUGCCAGCAGCCGCGGUAAUACAGAGGUCUCAAGCGUUGUUCGGAUUCAUUGGGCGUAAAGGGUGCGUAGGUGGCGGGGUAAGUCAGGUGUGAAAUCUCGGAGCUCAACUCCGAAACUGCACUUGAUACUGCCUUGCUUGAGUACUGGAGAGGAGAUUGGAAUUUACGGUGUAGCAGUGAAAUGCGUAGAUAUCGUAAGGAAGACCAGUGGCGAAGGCGAAUCUCUGGACAGUACUGACACUGAGGCACGAAGGCCAGGGGAGCAAACGGGAUUAGAUACCCCAGUAGUC
rnacentral:rRNA from 1 species